GACGAACGCUGGCGGCGUGCUUAACACAUGCAAGUCGAACGGAAAGGCCCUGCUUUUGUGGGGUGCUCGAGUGGCGAACGGGUGAGUAACACGUGAGUAACCUGCCCUUGACUUUGGGAUAACUUCAGGAAACUGGGGCUAAUACCGGAUAGGAGCUCCUGCUGCAUGGUGGGGGUUGGAAAGUUUCGGCGGUUGGGGAUGGACUCGCGGCUUAUCAGCUUGUUGGUGGGGUAGUGGCUUACCAAGGCUUUGACGGGUAGCCGGCCUGAGAGGGUGACCGGCCACAUUGGGCCUGAGAUACGGCCCAGACUCCUACGGGAGGCAGCAGGGGGGAAUAUUGCACAAUGGGCGGAAGCCUGAUGCAGCAACGCCGCGUGCGGGAUGACGGCCUUCGGGAUGUAAACCGCUUUCGCCUGUGACGAAGCGUGAGUGACGGUAAUGGGUAAAGAAGCACCGGCUAACUACGUG
rnacentral:rRNA from 1 species